rnacentral:lncRNA from 1 species
GAAAAUUCAGUAAUCUCAGUAAUCUCAGUGCUCAGUAACCUUAACAACCUCAGUAUUCAUAGUCAAUCUCAGAAACUUUAGUACUCUCAGUCAGUCCUCAGAACUCAGUACAUUUCGUCAGUCAAAGAAACUCGGUAAACUCAGUUUAGCUCCGCUAAACAAUACCACUAGUAUCAGUUCAGUUAACUCAGUACAGUCCAGUUCAGCUAAUCAGUUUA